rnacentral:tRNA from 1 species
UCUUUUAUCUUUUUCGACCUUAGGUUUUGAAAGCCUUAUUUGGAAUAUUUCUUUUCCCGCUUUUU